UACAGAGGUGGCAAGCGUUGUUCGGAAUUACUGGGCGUAAAGGGCGCGUAGGCGGCCUUCUAAGUCAGACGUGAAAUCCCCAGGCUUAACUUGGGAACUGCGUCUGAUACUGGAGGGCUCGAGUGCGGGAGAGGGAUGUGGAAUUCCAGGUGUAGCGGUGAAAUGCGUAGAUAUCUGGAGGAACACCGGUGGCGAAGGCGGCAUCCUGGACCGACACUGACGCUGAGGCGCGAAAGCGUGGGGAGCGAACCGG
rnacentral:rRNA from 1 species